rnacentral:lncRNA from 1 species
AUUUCUUUGGGCUGCUCCUGCGGCAUAGGGAGGUUCCCAGGCUAGGGGUCGAAUCAGAGCUAUAGCCACCGGCCUACGCCAGAGCCACAGCAACACGGGAUCCGAGCUGCAUCUGCAACUACACCACAGCUCACGGCAACGCUGGAUCCUUAACCCACUGAGCAAGGGCAGGGACCGAACCCGCAACCUCAUGGUUCCUAGUCGGAUUCAUUAACCACUGCGCCAUGACGGGAACUCCCAUUCAUUUUUUUCCCUUCCAGAUAAAGAGGCUUCUUGGCCUUUGUCAUUAAGCCUUUGGCCUUGACACAUAUCAGAGUAGAAAUAAUAGUUAUCACUGCAAACUUUUGAGGCAAUGAAAGAGAGUCUGGCCAUCCAGGAGACGGGGGCUGCAGGUGGACACCACCCUGGCCUUCUGCUCAGCUGCCCCUUCUCUGCUUCCCAGGCUUCCUUUUCUUUCUUUUUCUUUUUUUUUUGUGGAGAGGGCAUGUUCAGAAGUAUUACUCUGCGUGUGUGUGUGUGUGUGUGUAUGUGCGCUGGUGCAUGGGCUGUAGGGCAGGACAGAGGUGAGUCAGCAUCUCCUCCCUGCCCCUGAGGCCGUCAGCUCCUCCUCGCCCUGGAUCCUGCAUCAGCAUUGCCUUGUGAUGCUCGAGGCUCUGGGUCCACCCUCUACCCCCGCACCCUGAUUCUGGGGUGGCCCUGAGAACCUAGAUUGCUGGCAGUUUCCCAGACGGUGCCCCAGCACAGUCAGAGCUUGGCUCUGUGUACAGACCUACUUACUGCCUGAGCUGUAAGGCGUCAGCAGCUAGCACCUCGUCUGCAAGAGACACAGCACGACUGCUAGGAUUUGUGUCUGCUUCCCAGGGCGGCCGGAACAAGGUACUGCAAACUGAGGGGCGUAAAUGGUAAGAAUCCGCUUCCUUGCAGCUCUGGAGGCCAGAAGUCUGAGAUAAGGGUCUGCUGGGCCGUGCCCCUCCCCGCCGCCGGUUCUUGCCAGAGAUGGUUGGUGUGGACUGGCUCGCAGCUGUCUCGCCCCGCGUGGCCUUGUCUUCUGUAAGGACACAAGUUACGGGACAGAGGCCCCCCUCCACGUGACUUCAUCUUGACUGCAUGGCAUCUGCAAAGACCUGUUUCCAAACCAAGCUGCAUGCCCAGGUCCUAGAGGUCAGGACUGGCUCAGGCAUUUGGGCGGGCAGAGGACACAAUGUAACCACAACACGCUUCCUGUUCGUGAAUCAAGGAACAUAGAUAUGAGUAGUUCGAGUUCCCGUAGGGGCUCAGCAGGUUGAGGACGCGAUGUUGCCUCUGUGAAGAUGCAGGUUGGAUCCCUGGCCUCUCUAGGUGGGCGAGCUGUGGUGUAGGCUGCAGAAGGGGCUCAGAUCCAGUGUGGCCGUGGCUGUGGUGUAGGUCUCAGCUGCUGUUCCGAUUUGACCCCUCGCCUGGAACUUCCAUAUGCCACAGGUGCAGCCAUUGAAAAAAAAAAAGAAAGAAAGGUAAAAAAAAUGAGUAUUUCAUGUCUUCCACACUUCCUCCCUUCUUCACUCCCCACCCCCACCUUAGAGCAUCACGGAUGUAGAUGAGCCAUAAGACUAACCGAAGUACCAGGUCUUAUCUGCUUUCUUCCUGUGGUCACUGGGGUCUUGAUAGAACCCACCUUUGGGGAGUUCCUGCCUUGGCUCAGAGGAAACGAAUCUGACUAGGAUCCAUGAGGAUGUAUGUUCAAUACCUGGCCUCGCUCAGUGGGUCAAGGAUGGUGCAUGGCUAUGAUCUCUGGUAUAGGUUGCAGAUGGGGCUCAGAUCCUGCAUUGCUCUGGCUGUAGUGUAGGCUGGCAGCUAUAGUUCUGAUUCAACCCCUAGCCUGGGAAGCUCCAUAUGCCACGGGUGCAGCCUUAAAAAAAGCAAAAAAAUUAAAAAAUUAAAAAAAAUAAAAAGAACCCACCUUUGGGCAAGACUGCAUCCUCUGGUGAAAUGCCAUUGCCUCUUCAUCUGAGAACCAUCACGUCAGGGCAGAUAACCAGUUCUGAAGACAACAACCCCAUGUACCAUGGGGACGUGAUACCCAGACAUGCUGGACUUUUAUUACAAACCAAAGAGAUGGUUUUAAAAGCCAUUUUAGGGCUUCCAGACGACAUCUGAUAAUGACACCAUCUCAAUAUGUAUAAACUAAAUGGUUCUACUUCGGGUGAUAACACAGUUAUGAUUUUCUGAAAAAGUACAGGAUAUGCUGCUUUUGUUUUACAAUGAAGCUCCAUAACCUGGGUACCAGUUGAAGUUCCAGACAAAGACAGAUGAUAGGGAGAGCGAGAGAGAGGGAGAGAGAGAGGAGAAUAUUUUUACUCUUCUGUAUGAUGAUUGUCUGAUUGCAACAAUUCUACUUUUUUAAUUGAAAUAUAGUUGAUUUACAAUCUUGUGUUCAUUUCAGGUGUACAGCAAAUGGAUUCAGUUAAGCAUAUUUUCCCUUAUAGGUUAUUACAAAAUAUUAAGUAUUGUUCCCUGCACUAUACAGUAAGUCUUUGUUGGUUAUCUGUUUUAGAUAUAGUAGUUUGCAUCCGUUAAUCCUAACUUCUUAAUUUAUCCCUCCCUUAGCCCUUCACCGUCUAGUAACCAUAAGUUUUUUUGGCAAGUCUGCGGGUCUAUUUCUGUUUUGCAUAUAAGUUCAUUGGUAUCAUUUUUUUAUUCCACGUAUAAGUAAUAUCAUGUGGUGUUUGUCUUUCUCUUUCUGGCUUACUUCACUCAGUAGGAUAAUCUCCGGGUCCAUCCACGUUGCUCCAAAUGGCAUUAUUUCGUUCCUUUAUGGCUGAGUAAUAUUCCAUUGUGUUUGUACUGCAUCUUCUUUACCCAGUCCUCUGCUGAUGGACAUUUAAGUUGUUUCCUUGUCUUGGCUAUGGGGAAUUGUGCUGCAAUGAACACUGGGGUGCAUGUAUCUUUUUGAGGUAUGGUUUCCUCUUUGCUAUGGGAAUUAUCAGUCUCUCACAUGCAAAUAUAUCUGGUGCCUUUCUUUAAGAGAACUUAUAUAUGUGUCCUUCCUCAUAAAGACGUGAGCUUCAGGCCCUAAACUGGAAAGCGCUGCUGCCGGGUGAAAGUGAAAUGGGGUGUUGGCAAUUGUAUGUGGCUUCUGGGCCCCACACACUGUCUAGUAUCACUCCUUGAUAUUUUGGCUUGGAAGACAAGUCAGAAAGAAUUACCUUAAGAUAAUAAUUAUAAUAGAAGUUUCUCUCUCUCUUCUUGAAAUGGAACAGGACCCUAUGGCCCUCUCCCCAUGUCCUCUGCCUGCCUUCUGUCUGUAGAAAAAAAUUUAGUCAAAGAAUAAGUUUAAUUAAAGAAGUGAGAAAAUAUGGGAGCAAAAGAAAACAGUCAAAUGAGACCAAGUCAUUCAGCAAAGUCAAGGACCUUUAGUUCCAUCUCAAGGGCUAUAAACACUAUUCUGAGCCACAUCCUAUGAGCUGUCUUGGAGAUACUGAGUCUCCCACCAGGUGGAAGAAAUAAACUACAUCCCGACCAGACUGCAGCUCAAGGAAAUGCUAACAAACCGACCCUGGAACUGAAGACUGACUAUACUUAAAACAGAGAAGAUGGCACUGGUCAGACCUCUGCACAGCAAAGUCCGAGGCGACUGUCAGAGCUGAUGGUGCUGUUUCUGCAUGUGCCCCUUCCCUGUGCCUAGAACAGCUCCUGCCCACUGAUUGUCAGUGGGGCAGGGGGGAGGGCAGAGGGAUUUGGCCUCUGGACAGGAGUCCGCCUUCCCCCAGUUGCUGCAUCCGAAGUAAAGCAAACUUUUCUUUCCAUCAACCAUGCCUGCUUAUUGGCUCUAGAGCAGUGAGCUCCCAGACCCCGUGUUUCCUGACAUUGGCUUAGCUCGACACAGGGGCCACCUGGCCAUCACCUUCUACUUGAGGAAGUAUGAAAAGUGAACAAUUGACACCUUUCUUCUUCACCUGCAGGAGCCGCAGGACGCCUCUGCAGGAUGCAGGAUGGAGAGCUUCAUCUGCAUUGGAAACAUGUUUUCAGAUUUCAGACGAAGAUUUCGGAUUCGGUGAGCACCAUGGUGCAAGGACCAUGGAAGCUCUCUGAAAGGUUUCAAUAGUAUUGGUUUAAAAUCCAAUGGAAGUACUGCUCUUUUCUUGUGCUUAACAAAAAACCCCCCAUAUUUCACAGUAAUGGCCUCACAAGCGUGAAAUACUGCCGCUCUUGAUUAAAUUCUGUAGCCUCUGAUUACAUAGACCUAUGGAAAUAUGGCCCCUCACCAGCUGGCAAUGGGCAGUUUGUUAAUACAGCUGCCUCUCUACCAUCUUCAGUGUACCCAGAGCCCUCUGUCAACUCAAAGCAGAUAAAUGAGGAACAGGCUGACGACCACAUAACACAGAGGUGUCAAGAAAUUCACCUACUUUGCUAAUUCUUCUUAUAUUUCUACUUUACCGAGGUCUUUGUCAUUAGGAGAGGCACCAGUUCUUUAAUUCACUUUUCAUUACAGACUCUUUUGCUCCACCUCAAACUCCCCACCUGGUCACAGGAUUCCUGUAUCCUUUCAGGAGAAGCUUUAGCUCUUGCUUUGUACAGAUUCCACGUGACCCAGAUCCAUUCGAAUUCCCCCCUUUAUUUGAAGCUCUAACCUGAACGGCUGUAAGAAAUAACUAUCACCAGGGCCAUAGGCAAGAUGUUACUUAAGGUACAGACCUUACGGUAUUAAUUUAUAAUCUUCAUACCCGCUCGUGCCCACAACUUAUCCAGUCGAAAUAUCUACUUAGCUGUACCUAUGAAAAGGGAACACGAGAGGUGAAAUUUAGUUCUCCCAGUUAUGCAGGACAUAUACACCUGUUCACGAAAGAAAAAAUUAGUUUGAUACCCUGUAAUGACAGAUGGCUUUGAAGUUCCUCGUGGAUCAUAAGACCCCCUGGUGCUGUCAGAUGCUUCUCCUUGGCCUUGUCCCUGAUCCUGGUUCAAUUUUUUAUUCAUCUGGCCGAUUUCUGCCUGGACCCAUUAAAUCAACACCUCACACGAGGUGGUAAGGAUGGAGCUGCUGCUACAAGGCCAGGCUGGCACCCAGGUUGUCCCCACCCCCAACUGGAUACGAGUCCCGAGGCCACAAGAUGCCCAACCCAGUCACGACCAAAAAUGCUGAGCACUUUCCUUGAGAGACUAAAGAAAGACGUAUUUGAAACCAGCCAUUACGAUGAAUACUGGGAGGUAAAGGACUUCCAGAUUGAAAGAAGAAACCAAAGGUGACUCAACCCAAAGCCGGGUCACCGGCUCUCUGCCUUUUUCACUUUUAAUCUGCACAUUCUGUUUAGUAGAAUCGAUUGAGAAUAGGCUGUAAAAUCCGUUGAUUUUGGAGAAAAGGGAGGGAAGAAUGAAAUCCCAUGUUUUGCCAUUUUCAUCCAUGAAAAGGACAUGGACUGCCCCCUCCCUUUCUGGUUCCCCCAUCCCAUCCCAUCUGGGGAAGGUUAUGGCCACACCCUCUGCCACCUAAGUCCCACCCUCAGCCCUUCUUUCUCCAAAGGAGACAAACGCAGCUUCCCAGGGUCCCGUGAGCCCUUCAUCUGAGAGCAUAGGGCCUGUUGCUAAUCAUCUGACAGAUGAAAAGACAGAUCACUGAGGUGAAUUUCCCACUUAACACCCAGCAAGCUUGUCUCCUGCAGGAAAUAAGCACGGGAGACUCCUCUUUGCAUCCUGGCCCCCAGGCCCUCCCCACCCUGACGGGUUGGCCAGCGAGUGUCCCCCGGGCCGCAUUUAGGCUAGGUCCCAAGGGGGAUGCAAAGGAAUCAGCCUGCAGGUGCAUGUGUCACGGGGAGGGGGAACAGAGGAAAGAAGGUGUGAGCCCUUAGGGAAAAGCUUUUCCAGGUCCUGAGGGGGCCACCUGGGAGAAAUGGGGUGGUUUUCCUACUGUUGGCGUUCCUGCUGUGGUGCAAUGGGAUCGUUCGGGUCUCUGCAGCGCCGGGACACAGGUUCUCUGCCCGGCCCAGCACAGCGGUUGAAGGAUCUGCCGUUGCCACUGUGGGGUAGGUCCCACCUGCAGUGCAGAUCGGAUCCCUGGCCAUGGGGUGGCCAAAAAAAGAAAAAGAAAGAAAGAAAAGAUAAUUAUUUCAAAGUGACGUGAUUUAUAAACUAUAAGAUAUCACAUCAACUUAUCAUUUGGUUAAUUAGUCAAACAGUGAAGCAAAAAGUAUAUGAAGUGAUAAGCGGCAAUGGAUUUGAACGUGCCUUUGAGGAAUGAGCUGGAAAGGAGAGAAUCAGGUGGGGGAUGCCCCACCUGCUCAGGGCAGCAUCUCAAUUCCCAGCUUCGCCGUCUUGCUCAAUGACAGAGCAGGGCUGGAGAGCAGACCUGCUGGCCCUGAGUGGUGCUCUCCUCCCGAGUCACCAAAAACUGAUGUGUCCCCUGCAGCCCGUCGAGAACCAGAGUGCCGCCUGGAGUCAGAGAGACAGACGGCGGAGAGAACCAGCACACACCCUCCACCAUCCAUGACUCUCUAAGCUGCACCCGGGGAGCCAAGAGGCGGCGGGGCGUGGGGGUGGGGGUGGGGGGGGCGCAGGUUCACAGUUUGUGCUAAACCGCCAUCCGUUCAUCAUUCCUAGAAAUCGCCGGGAAAACAAAAGAACGAAAUUGAUGAAAUAAAUAAAGAAGCCGAGUCCCCGGUAUUAGAGAGAUACAUCUUCAUA